UAGGGAAUCUUCCGCAAUGGACGAAAGUCUGACGGAGCAACGCCGCGUGAGUGAAGAAGGAUUUCGGUUCGUAAAACUCUGUUGUUAGGGAAGAAUGAUUGUAUAGUAACUAUAUACAGUAGAGACGGUACCUAACCAGAAAGCCACGGCUAACUACGUGCCAGCAGCCGCGGUAAUACGUAGGUGGCAAGCGUUGUCCGGAAUUAUUGGGCGUAAAGCGCGCGCAGGUGGUUUAAAAAGUCUGAUGUGAAAGCCCACGGCUCAACCGUGGAAGGUCAUUGGAAACUGUUAAACUUGAGUGCAGGAGAGAAAAGUGGAAUUCCUAGUGUAGCGGUGAAAUGCGUAGAGAUUAGGAGGAACACCAGUGGCGAAGGCGGCUUUUUGGCCUGUAACUGACACUGAGGCGCGAAAGCGUGGGGAGCAAACAG
rnacentral:rRNA from 1 species